UGGUGGAGUGAUUUGUCUGGUUGAUUCCGUUAACGAGCGAGACCUUAACCUUUAAAUAGACACGCGAAUCGCCUUUAGAUGCGUUGAAAGUCACUUGACGGCGCCGGCUAACGCUGGCACCUUGGGUGGCCGGAUGCGUUGGUGUAUUCGUGGAUGCGCUUCUUAAAGGGACUCCUUGCAUCCAGCAAGGGGAAGUUUGAGGCAAUAACA
rnacentral:rRNA from 1 species